rnacentral:rRNA from 1 species
GACGAACGCUGGCGGCGUGCCUAACACAUGCAAGUCGAACGAGGUCCAUGCAGUGGCAACACUGCGGAAGACCUAGUGGCGAACGGGUGAGUAACACGUGAGGAACCUGCCCCGAAGACCGGGAUAACCCUCCGAAAGGAGGGCUAAUACCGGAUACCCCCACCGGAUCGCAUGAUCUGGUGAGGAAAUGGAUUCCGCUUCGGGAGGGCCUCGCGGCCUAUCAGCUUGUUGGUGGGGUAACGGCCCACCAAGGCAUCGACGGGUAGCUGGUCUGAGAGGACGAUCAGCCACACUGGGACUGAGACACGGCCCAGACUCCUACGGGAGGCAGCAGUGGGGAAUCUUGCGCAAUGGGCGAAAGCCUGACGCAGCAACGCCGCGUGGGGGAUGAAGGCUCUCGGGUUGUAAACCCCUUUCGGCCAGGGACGAAUCAAGACGGUACCUGCAGAAGAAGCCCGGCUAACUACGUG